rnacentral:pre_miRNA from 1 species
GGAGUACUCCCUCCUUUCGGAAUUACUUGUCUCGGAAAUGGAUGUAUCUAGAACUGAAAUACGUCUAGAUACAUUCAUUUGUGCGACAAGUAAUUCCGAACGGAGGGAGUAGUUA